rnacentral:misc_RNA from 1 species
GAUGAAGAACGCAGCGAAAUGCGAUAAGUAGUGUGAAUUGCAGAAUUCAGUGAAUCAUCGAAUCUUUGAACGCACAUUGCGCCCCUUGGUAUCCCGAGGGGCAUGCCUGUUCGAGCGUCAUUUCACCACUCAAGCCUGGCUUGGUGUUGGGCGACGUCCCCUUUGGGGACGCGCCUCGAAACGCUCGGCGGCGUGGCACCGGCUUUAAGCGUAGCAGAAUCUUUCGCUUUGGAAGUCGGGGCCCCGUCUGCCGGAAGACCUACUCGCAAGGUUGACCUCGGAUCAGGCAGGGAUACCCGCUGAACUUAAGCAUAUCAAUAAGCGGAGGG